AGUGCUCCAGGAAAGUACCUGAUUGACAAGAUCUACAUCCAAUGCCCAGAAAACACAUCCUACACAGGCACAGUGAAGCGUGGAGUUGAAGAAUUUUCCAGAAAACCAGUUUGGCUAUUAAGGGAACCUGUCGACACAGAGCAGAGCAAGAUAAGGCCAGGUUUCAGAAAGAAUAGCUGUUUACCAUCAAAGCAACUGGGUUCCAUACAGACAUGGUAUAUUAUACACAAAGACGAAGGAUAUGGGUCCACUCUCCGUCAAGGAAUGUUAUAAAUCCACGUGGUGUCCCUGGGCGUCAGGCUUGGCCACAACAUCUGUGGCUGGAGAAGCCAAUGUGGCUCAGGAGCUCCCUGCUGGCUGCACAUCUGAACAGCUUCAGGAGUACAAGUUUCCCCAUCAAAGGUUUGGAAUAAAUUACACUAAAAAAUUG
rnacentral:antisense_RNA from 1 species